rnacentral:lncRNA from 1 species
CACAACUCACUGUUCACUCUUUCCUUGGAAGUGUGUGAGAUGAGGUUUAGUAACGGUGAGGUCCCCAGAAGAGCUAUGAAGGGAAUAAUUUGAUUUUGGGAAAGAAGGGGACAGAGUCUCAUGAAUCAAGUAAAUGAGGGGUUAAAAGCCACAUUGAAGUGUGCCUUGCUAGCUGCUUGAUCCUCCAAGAGCAGCGGGGCUUCACUAGAGGUAAGGGGAGGAGGGGGAGGAAACGGGGCCAAGUUACAUGUAGACCUGGCCAUGACGCUGCCCCGAUGUUAUAGGAAGAUGGGAUAGGAGGAAGCGGGGGAAAAACCUGUGGGAGAAACAGAUUCUUCAGUCCGCAUUCUUCUGCUCUAACGUCACUCCUACAACCCAUGUAAGCAAAAUGGGGGCCUCUGUCCCCUUUCCAGAAAUCAUCUCUUUCCUUCACAGCUCUUCUCUGGACCUUAUCACUGCUGUUAAACCAUCCCUAGGGCAGAGGAAUUCUUGCUCUCUCUAGUCCCUUGCCACUCUGUCAUGGAGAUUGUCCCCAGCUCUAGACUGUAGUUACCUAGCCUCUUCCUUGAAGAAUGUGUAUCCCAGUUGAGUGAGGGAAAGUGUGCAAGAGUGCCACCUUCAUGUCAUUCUAUGGUCUCUUGGGGUAUGAGGUGAGAACCCAGGCUUCCAGACUUCCUGUCCUUCAAAUAGCUGCACUCUCCACAGCCCUAAGCAUGGUCAGCAGAGCCAUCCAUUGUCACAAGUAUUGAAGUCUAAGGUAGAAUUAUGCUUUCUUUUUACAAGUCUCUAUCUUUGUAUUUUACCAGCAUUUUUCCUUUUCUUUUUUUCUUCCUUGUUGCUCCCACAUAAUGAAAAAAGACAAAAGCACAAAUGACAUGUGUAUCCCAACAUGUCAAUUAUCUGUGGCUCCCAGGGGAGCCAGAAGAUGGAGGGAGACACUAGAGAGGAGAAUGACAGGUGAAAGAAGCAGAAAAGAAAGAUCGGGGACCUCACAACAGUAAGAGAGGAGCUGGGCACUGUGCUCCUGGGCUUCAGGCUCUAAAACCAACAGCUUCCAGUUCUCCAGCAGUUACUGGAACAUCCAGGCCCUAGGGUGGUGAAAUGAGCCCAGCUUUGAAACCAGAUGGAUCUGGAUUCAAAUUCUAACUCUGUUACUUCUUGAUUAUGAGGCUCUGGGCAAGGCACAUGCUUUCCGAGUAUCAGUUUUUUUCAUCUGCAAGCUGCAGAGCUAUUGGAUGGGUGAGGACAAUAUGGAAAAUGCCUGUCAGUCAGAAAGUGACCACUGCAGCUACUGUUACUGGUUUGACUCUGGGCAGUGAGCCGCUAGCUCAGUUGGAAGGAGCACUGUGUGAAUGAGGCCACCGGGGUGGGGUCACUGUCACUUAGCUAGAUCCAGGCCACAGGCUGUGCUGGACCUCUCUCUUCAGAGGAGAGAGCCAGAAGGGAUGAAAGCAUGGUCCCUGGUCUUCAAGAACUUUAGAGCUUAGCAUGGAACCAGGCUUCCCACUAGAAAAAUCGCUUAAGGUGCACCCUUGUGGUAGGCUGCUGGCAUGAGUUCUGUUGAAGCAUUUGUAUUGAACCUGGGCACUGUGACAGGAGGAUGGGAAGGUGCUUACGUUCAUUUCCCUUCCUCCCAGUGCUUCUCCUCCCUCACUUCAUCAUUUUAGCCCCUCUGCCUGCAAUAUUUCCCUUCCGUGCCCCCGGUAACUGUGAUGCGUGGCAAAUGGGCUGGCUCAGUAGCUGUGUGGGGCAACUUUCUCAGCACACAGCUGCCCCCAGACACUUUCAGGGUGCACUUAUUCUCCCUCCCUUUCCACUCCCAACCGCUCUGCUCCCUUCUUUUCUUACACAGAUGAAGCAAAGGGAAGUGCCCUCCGGAGGCCCUAGGAUGGGGAGACGGGAUAUUAAAGCCAUGACAGCAAACAGCCCCUUUCUCCUAAGGUUCCUGAUUUGAAGUGGCAAAACAAGGCAGUGGCAUAGUCUCCUGUCCUAUGUCCUUGGCAUGCAGCCUCCACCCAGCUCUGGCUGCAGAGGGCCGCACUCCGCUUGUACCGCAAUUCAUGCACAGUCCAGACUUAUACAGCAGCCGGCAACCCUAAGGGCAGGAUGAUUCCGAGACACACCAAAUCUUUGGCUUCAGGUCACAUGUUGCUCUGGAGAACCGAGAAGGGUGAGCAGACACCAAUCAUGACCCCAAACAGCAAGAGGACAGAAGGGAUCCCCCCUACUCCACAGCUUGACGGCAGAGCAGUGACCAGAAUAUAUGCUCAGGAAGGCCAAAGAGAUGAAGCCGCAGCUGCCUCUUUUUUUUUUUUGAGACAGUCUCAUUCUGUUGCCCGGGCUGGAGUGCAGUGGUGCGAUCUCGGCUCACUGUAACCUCCACCUCCCAGGUUCAAGCAAUUCUCGUACCUCAGCCUCCCAGGUAGCUGGAACUAUACAGGUGUACCAUCACACCCGGCUAAUUAUUUUUUGUCUUUUUUUGUAGAGAUGGGGUUUCGCCAUGUUGGUCAGGCUGGUCUCGAACUCCUGGCCUCAGGUGAUCCACGCACCUCCGCCUCCCAAAGUCCUGGGAUUAGAGGCGUGAGCCACCGUGCCCAGCCAGGCUUGCUUCUCUGAGCCAUACCCUUCUGUUGGAACAAGCAUCCUUUCUAUUAAAAGCAAUAAAUCUCCUCUUA